rnacentral:rRNA from 1 species
GAUGAACGCUGGCGGCGUGCCUAAUACAUGCAAGUCGAGCGAACAGACGCGGAGCUUGCUCCUCUGACGUUAGCGGCGGACGGGUGAGUAACACGUGGAUAACCUACCUAUAAGACUUGAAUAACUUCGAGAAACCGGAGCUAAUACCGGAUAACAUGUUUAACCUCAUGGUUCAACAGUGAAAGACGUUUUUUCUGUCACUUAUUGAUGGAUCCGCGCCUCAUUAGCUAGUUGGUAAGGUAACGGCUUACCAAGGCAACGAUGCGUAGCCGACAUGAGAGGGGGAUGGGCCACACGGGAAAUGAGACAAGGUCCAGACUCCUACGGGAGGCAGCAGUAGGGAAUCUUCAGCAAUGGGCGAAAGCCUGACGGAGCAACGCCGCGUGAGUGAAGAAGGUCUUAGGAUCGUAAAACUCUGUUAUUAGGGAAGAACAAAUGUGUAAGUAACUAUGCACGUCGUGACGGUACCUAAUCAGAAAGCCACGGCUAACUACGUG